GAUUCUGGCUCAGGAUGAACGCUAGCGACAGGCUAACACAUGCAAGUCGAGGGGCAGCAUAAAAGUAGCAAUACUUGGUGGCGACCGGCGCACGGGUGAGUAACGCGUAUGCAACCUACCUAUCAGAGGGGAAUAACCCGGCGAAAGUCGGACUAAUACCGCAUAAAACAGGGACACCGCAUGGUGAUAUUUGUUAAAGAAAUUCGCUGAUAGAUGGGCAUGCGUUCCAUUAGGUAGUUGGUGAGGUAACGGCUCACCAAGCCGACGAUGGAUAGGGGAACUGAGAGGUUGGUCCCCCACACUGGUACUGAGACACGGACCAGACUCCUACGGGAGGCAGCAGUGAGGAAUAUUGGUCAAUGGGCGAGAGCCUGAACCAGCCAAGUCGCGUGAAGGAAGAAGGAUCUAUGGUUCGUAAACUUCUUUUGCAGGGGAGUAAAGUGCAGGACGUGUCCUGUUUUGUAUGUACCCUGAGAAUAAGGAUCGGCUAACUCCGUGCCAGCCGCCGC
rnacentral:rRNA from 1 species